GAGAGAGAGGAAUAAAUAGAAACGGGAAAGUCCCGUGUAAUUAUACGAUUAUCAUGAUUAUUUUUUAAUCGUAAUCUUAUUUAAUAACGCCUAACGAAAUCUAGUCUUAUUUAUACUCUUUGUUAAAUCAAAAGCCGUGUUUUUUCUUUUUUAUUAUUAUUAUUAUUAUUAUUAUUAUUAUUAUACGCACAGCGAUUUAUUUAUGUAUGUACAUAAUUUUACACAAUUUGUGUCGGCGCGUGGCGUACAUCGGAAUGCAAGGAAUGGAGAGAAAUGUGUGGACUGUUGGUGGAAAUAAAAUUGAAACUGCGACUAUUGUGGCUUUGGCUAGGUGAUAUUCGAUGAACUUAAGAAACGUUAGAAUUGGGAAACGAUCCGUACCUGAGGCUUGUGGCGCUCUCCUUCGAUUUUUCGCUUCCGAAUCGUCCUUUAUUCGAGAAUUCCGUAAGUGGUUCACGUUUUAGAGACGCGCACGCGCCGACGAGUCUCCAUUGUUGGAGAAAUUGCGCUCAAAAUGGCGACGAUUAACGGUAGAACGGAGGAAAUGUGCAACAGGAACCGUCCUAUAAUCUGUAAUCGUUAUUAUCCUGUGCAGCGACACGUUAAACCAUUUUGAUAUAUCGAAUCUAUGAUUACGAUUACGAUUUUUGCAACAAUUCAUCCGACUAAUAAAAUUACUCUUAAAGAAUAAGAUUCACACGCAAUUCAAGCCAGGAUCUGAAUAAAAAAAUAAUGAAAAAUCGAAACGUUUCGUUUCACACUGAUCAAGCAUAUAAUUCUUUGGAACAACUUUUCAUUUGUCUUCCGACAUGACAACGAGAAGGAAAUUAACGUUGUACGUUAUGUACUUGUGCAAUGACUGUCGAAAAAUCUUAUUUCUCGCAAACGUCACGUUGACGUAUGAAAAACUCGCGCAACAACGUACCAAUUACGGAUCCAUUUAUAUCGCAAAACGAGACUUUAACACGUUUUACAAUGAUUAUAAUACGCGUGCAUGACAAUUGUCAAAAGUAAUCCCCGAAAGAAAUUUAAUUAAACCUUUCCCGAUAUGUUUCAUUGAUGCACUGGCCAAGGAUCCAUGCACAUCACACACGAUACACCAUCACGCGGCUUGGAAGGCCAGAGAGGGUGCUGUUUCGAAGUUGAGAAAUUAUGGAUGAAGGUUUCGAGAGAAAUUUGAUAUAAAAAAAAAAAAGAUGGAGGAGAUGAGAGAAAUCAAUGGUAAAUG